GCCUGCCUCCAUUCAUGUAAGAUGUGACUUGCCCCUUCUUGCCUUCUGCCAUGGUUGUGAGGCCUCCCCAGCCACAUGGAACUGGAUGUUAUAGAUCGGGACCGUGGCUAUCCAAAGCUAUGUGCAAAUUGAAAUUAUAAGGAAGCAGAAAAGCUAUGAAGAGGUGGAGAGAGGAAAAGAGAGAUAUACACAGAAAUGGAGCUGAAGAAAGGCAAAUGAAAAGAGAAAGAAGAGUUUGCACAGUACCUCAGUUCUUCAACUGAGCAUCCUUAUAUUCAACUUCCUUUUCCCCCAGAGGAGAUAACUGCAGUGGCUUUUUAUUACUUGAAAACAAAAGAACAAAACCCUAACAAGUGGUUCCUGGUCCAGAAGACUCAGGAAGCUACUUCAGGUGGAAGAGUGUUCCAUUUCAUUGAGAAGCCUUUUACCAAUUGCCAGAGUUUCUUUUAUGUGAACCUUGACAUAUCUCACUAGCUUGGUUGUAAAAAUUUUUACAAUCAUGUUAUCUGUCAGCAUCUGAGAAUGAUGCAUGAACAUUGUCAAGCAGAAGAUACAUCUUGGAGAACAAACUAUAUUAUGCAGUUGCCUGGCACAUUUAAAGCAGAAGUGCUUUAUUUUAACUCAAGAAAGAGAGUUUAUGUGUUUGAUAAAUCUGAAUUAUGUGAUAAAAAUUCUAAUACUGUGAGUAGUUGUCUCUCAUAUUCUUGAAAAAUUUACUUUAAUUAGACAUUAUCACAUAAGAAAAAACCAAAUACAGAAUCAUAUGACUGAAGUCAAUAGAAAAUUAGUAUGCCAGUAUUUGUCUUCCUCUUUAUAAUUUUUUAUUCCCUAUAAAUCUGGGUUUUCAUGUAUUGUUAUGUUAUCAUUUAUUAAUUUCAACUUUAUCCUUGUGUUUAAAAGUAAAGAAACCAAUUGCACAAUAAAGCUCAUACUUUUCUUUCAGUUUUAAAAGAAAGAGAUGGGAAAUAAAAACUAGGUUGUGGUAAUUACCAUUGAAGAAACCCUUUCAGUUGUUUUAUUUUUUGUGCAGAUUUGAUGUUAUUGUAUUAUGAAGGAAGGAAUAAUUACUGUAUAAUUAAAUUUGCUCUCUCAGGUGCCACUGUCAAUUUAUUUUGUCUUAUAUUUUUAAAAGUUGGCAGACGAUAUAUCCAGUGCUUGCUUUUGGAAAACCAAGCUUGGAUCAUAAAUCUAGUACUAAACCUUUCAUUGCAGAACUCAAGCGCUCUAAGCUUUUUUGUUAUUUUCCUUUUAUUUUGGGGAAAAAACUGAUCUCUAAUAAACAGAUGAGCCCAGAUUCUGAAAGCAGACUAUCUUAUUUCAAAUCUUGGCUCUACCGCUUAUUAGCUUUAUGACCAUGGGUAAAGGUAUGUAAUCUGUCUUUAUUUUGGUUUCCUCAUGUGUAAAAUGAAAUAGUAAUGUUAUGUUUCCCAUAGGGUUAAAAGAAUGCCUGGUAUAAGUUGGUGUUAUGUAAGUGUUUGCUCUUUCUAUAUUUCAUGAUGAAUAGACAACCUGUUUCUCAUGGCAAAUGUUUGAUCAUGUACACUUACCUGGUAAGCUCAUCUGUCAUCUGUUCCCCACAGAGACACUCUGUUGCACAACACAGAAUAUAAUGUGAAUGACACCACCUGGGACAGAGCACUGUGCUCUGCAUGAAUGAUGUCUUCUCGUGUUGUGUUAUUUUUAGGCCCUGAUCCAUCUGCUUCUGUUUUAUACCUAUCAUAGAAGACCAUGAAGCAUUUUGCAGAACUUCCUAAUUAUAGUCAGAAGAGGAAUUUACUGUGCAUUCUAGAAAAGGAGAGAAAAAAAUCUUCCAUUGUAGAAGAAAAUUAAUGAAAUAAAUGUAUCUAUAGUGAUGUGACCAAAUUGGCCUGAGCAAUUUAGCCCAUUGCAUAUUCUGUAAUUCAUCUAAAAUAGAGAUAUUAUUCUGGGGAGACCUCAGGACUAUAGUUUGUGCUGCUCAGGUGAGGUAAAGCGUGCAUAGGAAUUGGUAUUAUGAAAUGUUUUGGUUCCAUUAUCACCACAGUGUUUCCACUGGGUGUUCACCAGUGGAUGUUGCUUUCAGAAGUGUGUCUUUUAUAGGGUAAAAAGGCAUAAGAUAUUUUCUUAUUCUAUAAUUUAGGACUUUGACUAUGUGCUCCAGAGUAAUGAAGUCAGUCAUGGUAUUAGCAUUUCAGAGCUCACCCAUGGACACCAAUACUCAAGAGACACUGAUACUCAGUUGGACUAAAUUCAAAGAAACUCUUUGAACUUUAAGUAUGGGAAUUUGUGUUUAUUUUUGUGUUUCAAAACGAUAACCACCUGCUGCUUUGCCAGAUUCUUGUUUCUUCCAGUCAAAAUAAUAUAGCUCUUAAAAGUUCAUUUUCUCAACUAAGAAGCACAAUAUUAGAAGAAAAUGUUCUUUUCUAUUUCUUUAAUUUCUAUUUGUUCCUCAAGUUGAUCACCAAAUCCUGAGGGUAAAGAAAUUUACUUCAAUCAUCAUAUAUAUAGCAUGAGGCACAUUUAGGAAUCUUGUAGUCCAUAAUCCAAUCACAUCCUCCUUUUCUGGCCAAAAAAAAAAAAAGACUGUUGUCAAUUGUACAGAGAAGACAUCUGAAAUUUCCUUUUUAUAACUUCACAUUAGUAACAAUCAUUUGCAGAAACAGUGUUCAAAAGAUGAAGUGCUUCUCCAUAUUUCCUCAAAUAAUUAUGAAAUUACUAUGUGCAAAUGUUUAUAAAGGCUUUAAUUAGCACCUUAAGAUUUCACAUAGAGACCUGUAAAUACAUGAUAGAUUGAAAUUUGAAAAGUAUUUUUUUGAAAUGCUUCCCAUGCAGAAUAUUUUUAAUUAAGGUCUAACACCUCAUUCUGACUACUUUAAUUCUAGGAACUUCUGUAACCCUAUAUCCUAGUUUUGACUAUUUCUUUCUGCCUACAAUCUUCUUAUUGACCAUUUUUCCAACUACCUUACUCUUCAUUUGCUUGUCAUUUCUGUCACUGACCAUGGCUUAUCCCUGUGAUUCUGAUUUCUUUUUUCUUGCCAUUCAUUUCAACAACACUUUAAAAUACCUAAUGUUCUCGACUUGCUGCCAUAUUUUCCCAUUAAAUCAUGAAUUAAUUUUGUUCCACAACCUAAAUAUUCAAUAUUUUUUGCUCUCGGAUUGCCAGAGAAAGUCAAGCUGAUUAGGUGCUCCAAAAAUGUAUGGCUUGUAAUGUUUUAUGGGUUCUCAGCAUACCCUGCAAGUUAGUUGCUAUGGUUGUUGGUCAUGUUCCUCAUAGCUGCCAUUCCAAAAAUUGUUUCUCUAUCUUCAGACCUGGAAACCCAUUCACAGAUCCAGAUCUUUCUUUCAUCCUCACUAAGAUGAGUAAAACCAUUGGCAAAAACAAACAAAAAGCCCAAUUGAUUUCCCAACUCAUAUUCCCUCAGGUAUUUCCCAUCUUACAUUUUCUCUGUAUUUUUCCUGUCAUCUUAUUCUUUGUUCUCAUACAUUCUUAAUUAUUUUUUAUUAUACUUUAAGUUCUGGGAUACAUGUGCAGAACAUGCAGGUUUGUUACAUAGGUAUAUACAUGCCGUAGUGGUUUGCUGCACCCACCAACCCGUCAUCUACAUUAGGUAUUUCUCCAAUGCUAUCCCUCCCCUAGACCCCACCCCCGAUAGGCCUCAGUGUGUGAUGUUCCCCUCCCUGUGUCCCUGUGUUCUCAUUGUUCAACUCCCACUUAUGAAUGAGAACAUGCAGUGUUUGGUUUUCUGUUCUUCUGUUAGUUUGCUGAGAAUGAUGGUUUCCAGCUUCAUCCAUGUCCCUGCAAAGGACAUGAACUCAUUCAUUUUUAUGGCUGCAUAGUAUCCCAUUGUGUAUAUGUGCCACAUUUUCUUUAUCCAGUCAAUCAUUGGUGGGCAUUUGGAUUGGUUCCAAGUCUUUGCUAUUGUGAACAGUGCCACAAUGAACACAUGUGUGCAUAUGUCUUUAUAGUAGAAUGAUUUAUCCUUUGGGUAUAUACCCAGUAAUGGGAUUGCUGAGUCAAAUGGUGUUUCUGGUUUUAGAUCCUUGAGGAAUCUCCACACUGUCUUCCACAAUGGUUGAACUAAUUUACACUCCCACCAACAGUGUAAAAGCGUUCCUAUUUCUCCACAUUCUCUCCAGCAUCCGUUGUUUCCUGACUUUUUAAUGAUCACCAUCCUAACUGGCGUGAGAUGUCAUCUCAUUGUGGUUUUGAUUUGCAUUUCUCUAAUGACCAGUGAUGAUCUUUUUUUCAUAUGUUUGUCAGCCACAUAAAUUUCUUCUUUUGAGAAGUGUCUGUUCAUAUCCUUCACCCACUUUUUGAUGGGAUUUUUUUUUUUCUUGUAAAUUUAAAUUCCUUGUAGAUUCUGGAUAUUAACCCUUUGUCAGGUAGAUAGAUUGCAAAAUUUUUCUCCCAUUCUGUAGGUUGCCUGUUCACUCUGAUGAUAGUUUCUUUUGCUGUGCAGAAGCUCUGUAGUUUAAUUAGAUCCCAUUUGUCAGUUUUGGCUUUUGUUGCCAUUGCUUUUGGUGUUUUAGGCUUGAAGUCUUUUCCUAUCCCUGUGUCCUGAAUGGUAUUGCCCAGGUUUUCUUCUAGGGUUUUUAUGGUUUUAUGUCUUACGUUUAAGUGUUUAAUCCAUCUCGAGUUAAUUUUUGUAUAAGCUGUAAGGAAGGGGUCCAAUUUCAGUUUUCUGCAUAUGGCUAGCCAUUUUCCCAACACCAUUGAUUAAAUAGGGAAUCCAUUCCCCAUUGCUUGUUUUUGUCAGGUUUGUCAAAGAUCAGAUGGUUGUAGAUGUGUGGUGUUAUUUCUGAGGCCUCUGUUCUGUUCCAUUGUUCUGUACAUCUGUUUUGGUACCAGUACCAUGCUGUUUUGGUUACUGUAGCCUUGUAGUAUAGUUUGAAGUCAGGUAGUGUGAUGCCUCCAACUUUGUUCUUUUUGCGUAGGAUUGUCUUGGCUAUGUGGGCUCUUUUUUGGUUCCAUAUGAAAUCUAAAGUAGUUUUUGAACUGUAUGGUAGUUGGAAGUGCUCCUUGCAAUGUUUGCUUUGCAAAUAUUUACUCAUUGAUUUAACCUACUACCAUUAUCAACUGCUGUCACUAACUGCUUCACCAAAACUUGGUUAAAUAAAUAAUUAUCUUAAGGGAACAACAGAUACCACAGUCUACUUGAGGGUGGAGAUUGUGAGGAAAGAGAAGAUAAAAAAAUUACCUACUGGGCACUAUGCUUAUUACUUGGGUGAUGAAAUAAUCUGUAUACCAAACCCCUGUGCUACACAAUUUGGCUCUGUAACAAACCUGAAUAUGU
ensembl:lncRNA novel transcript